rnacentral:rRNA from 1 species
GCUUGUCUCAAAGAUUAAGCCAUGCAUGUCUAAGUAUAAACUGCUUAUACUGUGAAACUGCGAAUGGCUCAUUAAAACAGUUAUAGUUUAUUUGAUGGUCGUUCCUUACAUGGAUAACUGUGGUAAUUCUAGAGCUAAUACAUGCACCCAUGCCCGACUUUGUGGAAGGGUUGUGUUUAUUAGUUACAGAACCAACCCAGGCUCUGCCUGGUCUUGUGGUGAUUCAUAAUAACCGAACGAAUCGUAUGGCAUCAGCUGGCGAUGAAUCAUUCAAGUUUCUGACCUAUCAGCUUCCGACGGUAGGGUAUUGGCCUACCGUGGCAAUGACGGGUAACGGAGAAUUAGGGUUCGAUUCCGGAGAGGGAGCCUGAGAAACGGCUACCACAUCUAAGGAAGGCAGCAGG